UUAAGCGACUAAGCGUACACGGUGGAUGCCCUGGCAGUCAGAGGCGAUGAAGGACGUGCUAAUCUGCGAUAAGCGUCGGUAAGGUGAUAUGAACCGUUAUAACCGGCGAUUUCCGAAUGGGGAAACCCAGUGUGUUUCGACACACUAUCAUUAACUGAAUCCAUAGGUUAAUGAGGCGAACCGGGGGAACUGAAACAUCUAAGUACCCCGAGGAAAAGAAAUCAACCGAGAUUCCCCCAGUAGCGGCGAGCGAACGGGGAGCAGCCCAGAGCCUGAAUCAGUGUGUGUGUUAGUGGAAGCGUCUGGAAAGGCGCGCGAUACAGGGUGACAGCCCCGUACACAAAAAUGCACAUGCUGUGAGCUCGAUGAGUAGGGCGGGACACGUGGUAUCCUGUCUGAAUAUGGGGGGACCAUCCUCCAAGGCUAAAUACUCCUGACUGACCGAUAGUGAACCAGUACCGUGAGGGAAAGGCGAAAAGAACCCCGGCGAGGGGAGUGAAAAAGAACCUGAAACCGUGUACGUACAAGCAGUGGGAGCACGCUUAGGCGUGUGACUGCGUACCUUUUGUAUAAUGGGUCAGCGACUUAUAUUUUGUAGCAAGGUUAACCGAAUAGGGGAGCCGAAGGGAAACCGAGUCUUAACUGGGCGUUAAGUUGCAGGGUAUAGACCCGAAACCCGGUGAUCUAGCCAUGGGCAGGUUGAAGGUUGGGUAACACUAACUGGAGGACCGAACCGACUAAUGUUGAAAAAUUAGCGGAUGACUUGUGGCUGGGGGUGAAAGGCCAAUCAAACCGGGAGAUAGCUGGUUCUCCCCGAAAGCUAUUUAGGUAGCGCCUCGUGAAUUCAUCUCCGGGGGUAGAGCACUGUUUCGGCAAGGGGGUCAUCCCGACUUACCAACCCGAUGCAAACUGCGAAUACCGGAGAAUGUUAUCACGGGAGACACACGGCGGGUGCUAACGUCCGUCGUGAAGAGGGAAACAACCCAGACCGCCAGCUAAGGUCCCAAAGUCAUGGUUAAGUGGGAAACGAUGUGGGAAGGCCCAGACAGCCAGGAUGUUGGCUUAGAAGCAGCCAUCAUUUAAAGAAAGCGUAAUAGCUCACUGGUCGAGUCGGCCUGCGCGGAAGAUGUAACGGGGCUAAACCAUGCACCGAAGCUGCGGCAGCGACGCUGAUGCGUUGUUGGGUAGGGGAGCGUUCUGUAAGCCUGCGAAGGUGUGCUGUGAGGCAUGCUGGAGGUAUCAGAAGUGCGAAUGCUGACAUAAGUAACGAUAAAGCGGGUGAAAAGCCCGCUCGCCGGAAGACCAAGGGUUCCUGUCCAACGUUAAUCGGGGCAGGGUGAGUCGACCCCUAAGGCGAGGCCGAAAGGCGUAGUCGAUGGGAAACAGGUUAAUAUUCCUGUACUUGGUGUUACUGCGAAGGGGGGACGGAGAAGGCUAUGUUGGCCGGGCGACGGUUGUCCCGGUUUAAGCGUGUAGGCUGGUUUUCCAGGCAAAUCCGGAAAAUCAAGGCUGAGGCGUGAUGACGAGGCACUACGGUGCUGAAGCAACAAAUGCCCUGCUUCCAGGAAAAGCCUCUAAGCAUCAGGUAACAUCAAAUCGUACCCCAAACCGACACAGGUGGUCAGGUAGAGAAUACCAAGGCGCUUGAGAGAACUCGGGUGAAGGAACUAGGCAAAAUGGUGCCGUAACUUCGGGAGAAGGCACGCUGAUAUGUAGGUGAAGUCCCUUGCGGAUGGAGCUGAAAUCAGUCGAAGAUACCAGCUGGCUGCAACUGUUUAUUAAAAACACAGCACUGUGCAAACACGAAAGUGGACGUAUACGGUGUGACGCCUGCCCGGUGCCGGAAGGUUAAUUGAUGGGGUUAGCGCGAGCGAAGCUCUUGAUCGAAGCCCCGGUAAACGGCGGCCGUAACUAUAACGGUCCUAAGGUAGCGAAAUUCCUUGUCGGGUAAGUCCCGACCUGCACGAAUGGCGUAAUGAUGGCCAGGCUGUCUCCACCCGAGACUCAGUGAAAUUGAACUCGCUGUGAAGAUGCAGUGUACCCGCGGCAAGACGGAAAGACCCCGUGAACCUUUACUAUAGCUUGACACUGAACAUUGAGCCUUGAUGUGUAGGAUAGGUGGGAGGCUUAGAAGUGUGGACGCCAGUCUGCAUGGAGCCGACCUUGAAAUACCACCCUUUAAUGUUUGAUGUUCUAACGUUGACCCGUAAUCCGGGUUGCGGACAGUGUCUGGUGGGUAGUUUGACUGGGGCGGUCUCCUCCUAAAGAGUAACGGAGGAGCACGAAGGUUGGCUAAUCCUGGUCGGACAUCAGGAGGUUAGUGCAAUGGCAUAAGCCAGCUUGACUGCGAGCGUGACGGCGCGAGCAGGUGCGAAAGCAGGUCAUAGUGAUCCGGUGGUUCUGAAUGGAAGGGCCAUCGCUCAACGGAUAAAAGGUACUCCGGGGAUAACAGGCUGAUACCGCCCAAGAGUUCAUAUCGACGGCGGUGUUUGGCACCUCGAUGUCGGCUCAUCACAUCCUGGGGCUGAAGUAGGUCCCAAGGGUAUGGCUGUUCGCCAUUUAAAGUGGUACGCGAGCUGGGUUUAGAACGUCGUGAGACAGUUCGGUCCCUAUCUGCCGUGGGCGCUGGAGAACUGAGGGGGGCUGCUCCUAGUACGAGAGGACCGGAGUGGACGCAUCACUGGUGUUCGGGUUGUCAUGCCAAUGGCACUGCCCGGUAGCUAAAUGCGGAAGAGAUAAGUGCUGAAAGCAUCUAAGCACGAAACUUGCCCCGAGAUGAGUUCUCCCUGACUCCUUGAGAGUCCUGAAGGAACGUUGAAGACGACGACGUUGAUAGGCCGGGUGUGUAAGCGCAGCGAUGCGUUGAGCUAACCGGUACUAAUGAACCGUGAGGCUUAACCUU
rnacentral:rRNA from 1 species